rnacentral:rRNA from 1 species
GAUGAACGCUGGCGGCGUGCCUAAUACAUGCAAGUCGAACGAACAGAUAAGGAGCUUGCGCCUUUGACGUUAGCGGAAGACGUGUGAAUAACGCGUGGAUAACCUACCUAUCAGACUGGAAUCACUCCGGGAAACCGGCGCUAACCCAGUAUAACCUGUUGAACCACAUGGUUCUACAGUGAAAUGCGGCUUUGCUGUCUCUUAUCGCUGGACACGGGCCGUAUUAGCUGGUUGGGGGGGUAACGGCUUACCAAGGCAACGAUUCGUAUCCGAGCGGAGAGGCUGGUCGGCCACCUGGGAACGGGGCCAGGGUCCAGACGCCUACGGGACGCAGCAGUAUGCAAUCGGACGCAACGGGCGAAAGCAUGACGGAGCAAGGCCGCGUGAGUGAUGACGAUCUUCGGAGCGUAAAACUCUGUUAUGAGGGAUGAACAACUUCGUAAGUAACUGUGCGCUGCUUGACGGUACCGAAUCAGAAAGCCACGGCUAACUACGUG